rnacentral:rRNA from 1 species
UACGGAGGGCGCAAGCGUUGUUCGGAAUCACUGGGCGUAAAGCGCGUGUAGGCGGCUUGGCAAGUCGGGUGUGAAAGCCCGGAGCUCAACUCCGGAACUGCAUUCGAAACUGCCUCGCUCGAGUCCCGGAGAGGGUGGUGGAAUUCCCGGUGUAGAGGUGAAAUUCGUAGAUAUCGGGAGGAACACCAGUGGCGAAGGCGGCCACCUGGACGGUGACUGACGCUGAGACGCGAAAGCGUGGGGAGCAAACAGG